rnacentral:rRNA from 1 species
UACAGAGGAUGCAAGCGUUAUCCGGAAUGAUUGGGCGUAAAGAGCUUGUAGGCGGUUUGUCGCGUCUGCUGUGAAAAUCCGGGGCUCAACCCCGGACUUGCAGUGGGUACGGGCAGACUAGAGUGUGGUAGGGGAGACUGGAAUUCCUGGUGUAGCGGUGAAAUGCGCAGAUAUCAGGAGGAACACCGAUGGCGAAGGCAGGUCUCUGGGCCACUACUGGCGCUGAGAAGCGAAAGCAUGGGGAGCGAACAGG